UGAACCUUGAGGACAUUAUGCUAAGUGAAAUAAGCCAGGCACAAAAAUUCAAACACUGCAUGAUUCAUCAUUUGAAAACAGAAUUCUGUUUCUUCAGGACAAACUAAAACACUUUUUCAUUUCUUCAGUUUUCCUUAAAAUACUAUAUGUACGUCUUAAUUGGAAACUGACAUAAAGCUUUACUUCCAACCUUAAUGGAGAAGGAAGGAUUUGUAUUGUGAAGGAAGGGAAUCUCUUUGUCAUUUUGCCUGGGAUCACAGGAAAAACUCUUUGAAAAUAAUCUUUUCUCAAGUGCCACAAAAAAGGCAUUUGCAUUUUCUAGACAAGAGUUCACUAAUGCAAAAUUCUUCCAAGCCAAUCAAAUGCAUUUAAGAAAUAACAUCCUGGCACAAGGCACUUCUGGGGAUUAAUAACCGGGGGCAGAGGCAUGCACUGCCCAGGGCACAGCCGGAGGCCAUUCACCUUGCUCAAGGAUCAAGAAACCCUAGAA
rnacentral:lncRNA from 1 species